GGCCCUUUGUGUAAUAGUUGAAAAUAGGGGGUCUGGCCUGCCCGGUGGCCCAUUGGGUUAAACGGCCGCGGUAUCUUGACCGUGCAAAGGUAGCGUAAUAAUUUGCCUAUUAAUUGUGGGCUAGUAUGAAUGGCUUGACGAGGGUGAGACUGUCUCUUGGCGGGUAUAUGGAAUUUAAUUUUUAGGUGAAAAGGCCUGAAUGUUAUUAAGGGACGAGAAGACCCUAUCGAGCUUUAGUUUAAAUUCUGAGGAUAAUAAGCUAUGUUUAUAUUUUAUGUUUUCAGGAGGAAUCUUUGAUUGGGGCGAUCGGAAAGAAUGAAAAACCUUUCAGUAAAGUUGAUGGUUUAUAGACAAAGGAUCUGGUGUAUGUGUAUAGAUAAAAAGAAUAAGUUACCGUAGGGAUAACAGCGUAAUUCUUUUGGAGAGUUCUUAUUGAGAAAAGAGUUUGCGACCUCGAUGUUGGACUAAGAUAGCCAAAUGGUGUAGAGGCUAUUAGGGUUGGUCUGUUCGACCAUUAAAAUCUUACAU
rnacentral:rRNA from 1 species